rnacentral:pre_miRNA from 1 species
AACAUACUCCCUCCGUCCCAAAAUUCUUGUCUUAGAUUUGUCUAAAUACGGAUGUAUCAAGUCACAUUUUAGUAUUAGAUACAUCCAUAUCUAGACAAAUCUAAGACAAGAAUUUUGGGACGGAGGGAGUAUAUU